UGAGUGCGAGCGGCUACGGCCGCGAAGUGGGUGAUGUCAAGCUUCCAAGAAAAGCCCUAUACCCGUUAAGGCAUGAUGGCCUGUACCCGAAACCGACACAGGUGGGGUGGUAGAGAAUACCGAGGGGCGCGAGGUAACUCUCUCUAAGGAACUCGGCAAAAUGGCCCCGUAACUUCGGGAGAAGGGGUGCCACCGCAAGGUGGUCGCAGUGAAGAGGCCCAGGCGACUGUUUACCAAAAACACAGGUCUCCGCUAAGUCGCAAGACGAUGUAUGGGGGCUGACGCCUGCCCAGUGCCGGAAGGUUAAGGAAGCUGGUCAGCGCAAGCGAAGCUGGCGACUGAAGCCCCGGUGAACGGCGGCCGUAACUAUAACGGUCCUAAGGUAGCGAAAUUCCUUGUCGGGUAAGUUCCGACCCGCACGAAAGGCGUAACGAUCUGGGCGCUGUCUCGGAGAGAGGCUCGGCGAAAUAGAAUUGUCUGUGAAGAUGCGGACUACGUGCACCCGGACAGAAAGACCCUAUGAAGCUUUACUGUAGCUUGGUAUUGUGCCCGGGCUCUGAAUGCGCAGGAUAGGUGGGAGGCUUUGAUCCAUGGCUUGCGGGUCAUGGUGAGCCAACGGUGAGAUACCACUCUUUCAGAGCUAGGGUUCUAACGGUCACCCGUCAUCCGGGGACCGGACAGUAUCAGGUGGGCAGUUUGACUGGGGCGGUCGCCUCCUAAAAGGUAACGGAGGCGCGCAAAGGUUUGCUCAGGCUGGUUGGAAAUCAGCCGACGAGUGCAAAAGCAGAAGCAAGCUUGACUGUGAGACCUACAAGUCGAACAGGGACGAAAGUCGGCUUUAGUGAUCCGACGGUUCUGAGUGGAAGGGCCGUCGCUCAACGGAUAAAAGUUACUCUAAGGAUAACAGGCUGAUCUCCCCCAAGAGUUCACAUCGACGGGGAGGUUUGGCACCUCGAUGUCGGCUCAUCGCAACCUGGGGCUGAAGUCGGUCCCAAGGGUUGGGCUGUUCGCCCAUUAAAGCGGUACGCGAGCUGGGUUCAGAACGUCGUGAGACAGUUCGGUCCAUAUCCGGUGCACGCGCAGGAACAUUGAGAGGAUUUCUCCCUAGUACGAGAGGACCGGGAGGAACGCACCUCUGGUGUGCCAGUUAUCGUGCCAACGGUAAACGCUGGGUAGCCAUGUGCGGAGUGGAUAACCGCUGAAAGCAUCUAAGUGGGAAGCCCACCUCAAGAUGAGUGUUCCCAUGGCAUAAGCCAGUAAGGUCACGGGAAGAACACCCGUUGAUAGGCUCUACGUGGAAGCCGGGUAACCGGUGAAGCGGAGGAGUACUAAUAGACCGAGGGCUUGACC
rnacentral:rRNA from 1 species